rnacentral:rRNA from 1 species
AGAGUUUGAUCCUGGCUCAGAUUGAACGCUGGCGGUAGGCUUAACACAUGCAAGUCGUGCGAGAAAGUAUCUUCGGAUAUGAGUAGAGCGGCGGACGGGUGAGUAACGCGUAGGAAUCUACCUAGUAGAAGGGGAUAGCCCGGGGAAACCCGGAUUAAUACCGUAUACCUCCUUCGGGAGAAAGAAGGCCUCUCUUUGAAGCUUUCGCUAUUAGAUGAGCCUGCGUAAGAUUAGCUUGUUGGUGAGGUAAAGGCUCACCAAGGCGACGAUCUUUAGCUGGUCUGAGAGGACGAUCAGCCACAUUGGGACUGAGACACGGCCCAGACUCCUACGGGAGGCAGCAGUGGGGAAUAUUGGACAAUGGGCGCAAGCCUGAUCCAGCCAUACCGCGUGUGUGAAGAAGGCCUUCGGGUUGUAAAGCACUUUAAGCAGGGAGAAAAAGUUAUAAGUUAAUACCUUAUAACCCUGAUGUUACCUGCAGAAUAAGCACCGGCUAAUUCCGUGCCAGCCGCCGCGGUAAUUC